GUCUUUGUAGCUUAUUAGACAAAGCAUGGCACUGAAGAUGCCAAGAUGACUACCCCUACAUGUCCGAAGACA
rnacentral:tRNA from 1 species